rnacentral:rRNA from 1 species
AUUGAACGCUGGCGGCAGGCCUAACACAUGCAAGUCGAACGGUAACAGGAAGAAGCUUGCUUCUUUGCUGACGAGUGGCGGACGGGUGAGUAAUGUCUGGGAAACUGCCUGAUGGAGGGGGAUAACUACUGGAAACGGUAGCUAAUACCGCAUAAUGUCGCAAGACCAAAGAGGGGGACCUUCGGGCCUCUUGCCAUCGUAUGUGCCCAGAUGGGAUUAGCUAGUAGGUGGGGUAACGGCUCACCUAGGCGACGAUCCCUAGCUGGUCUGAGAGGAUGACCAGCCACACUGGAACUGAGACACGGUCCAGACUCCUACGGGAGGCAGCAGUGGGGAAUAUUGCACAAUGGGCGCAAGCCUGAUGCAGCUAUGCCGCGUGUAUGAAGAAGGCCUUCGGGUUGUAAAGUACUUUCAGCGGGGAGGAAGGGAGUAAAGUUAAUACCUUUGCUCAUUGACGUUACCCGAAGAAGAAGCACCGGCUAACUCCGUG